rnacentral:snRNA from 1 species
AAGUGUUACAGCUCUUUUACUAUUUGUCUAGCAGGUUCUUACUCGGUAGAGCCAAA